AUACCUGAUAGAGGAUAAAUACUGGAAGGUUUUAUUCUUCAAAGCUUCGGCACCUGAGGAUGGGACUGCGUCGGAUUAGCUUGUUGUCGGGAUAAUUACCCGACAAGGCGAUAAUCCGUACGGGUUGUGAGAGCAAUAGCCCGGAGAUGGAUUCUGAGACAUGAAUCCAGGUCCUACGGGACGCAGCAGGCGCGAAACCUUCACAAUGCCUGAAAGGGUGAUGAGGGAACUCUGAGUGACUUCGCAAUGCGAAGUCUUUUGCCAAGUGCAAAAAGCUCGGUGAAUAAGUGGUGGGCAAGACAGUUGCCAGCCGCCGCGGUAAUAACUGCGCCACGAGUGGUGAUCUCGUUUAUUGGGCUUAAAGCGUUCGUAGCCGGUUUUAUAAGCAUCUGGUGAAAUCCGAUAGUAAACUAUUGGGCUGGCUAGGUGUACUGUAAGACUAGGGACCGGUAGGGGCCGGGAGUACUCCUAGGGUAGGGGUUAAAUCCUUUAAUCCUAGGGGGACUACCAGUGGCGAAGGCGCCCGGCUAGAACGGGUCCGACGGUGAGGGACGAAAGCUGGGGGAGCGAUCCGGAUUAGAUACCCGGGUAGUCCCAGCUGUAAACGAUGCCCGCUUGGUGUGGUGAAACUUUCGUGGUUUUGCC
rnacentral:rRNA from 1 species